AAGUCGUAACAAGGUUUCCGUAGGUGAACCUGCGGAAGGAUCAUUAAUCGAAUGAACAUGUUUCUCAGCAUGAAUUUCAAAACCCAUCUGUGUACCAUACCUGUUGCUUCCGUGCUGCGCAUGCAGUAAAGCGUGCCGCCAAGGCCAACUCUCCGAGCUUGGAGGGGUCCCUGGUGUGUCGGCACGGAAGGUUUUACAGCAAACUCUUGCAUUUCCAUGUCUUCUGUCUGAACUGUCAUAUACAAUAAGUUAAAACUUUCAACAACGGAUCUCUUGGUUCUC
rnacentral:misc_RNA from 1 species